AUGAAGGUUAGAAUCCCUCCUACACUAAUGAACCCAUAUGUCCUAAUUACCCUCUUAUUUGGACUAGGCCUAGGAACCACCAUUACAUUUACAAGUUCACACUGACUACUCGCCUGAAUAGGACUAGAAAUUAAUACUCUAGCCAUUAUUCCCCUGAUAACCCAACACCACCACCCCCGAGCCGUUGAAGCAACAACCAAAUACUUCCUCACUCAGGCCACCGCCGCAGCCAUACUUCUUUUUGCAAGCACUACCAAUGCUUGACUCACCGGACAAUGAGAAAUCCAACAAAUAACACAUCCCUUCCCAACAACCAUAAUCAUUCUCGCCCUAGCACUAAAAGUAGGCCUAGCCCCCAUACACUCCUGACUCCCCGAAGUAUUACAAGGACUUAGCCUCACUACCGGGCUUAUCCUAUCCACUUGACAAAAAUUAGCCCCAUUUGCCCUCCUCCUGCAAAUCCAACCCGCCGAUCCCUUCAUCCUCAUUACAUUGGGCCUGACCUCAACUCUAGUCGGCGGCUGAGGAGGACUUAACCAAACACAACUACGAAAAAUCCUUGCUUACUCUUCAAUCGCUCACCUGGGCUGAAUGAUACUCAUCCUCCAAUUCUCCCCGACCAUCACACUUCUUACCCUAAUUACAUAUCUCCUGAUAACCACCUCAACAUUCCUUGUCUUCAAACUAAACAAAGCAACAAACAUUGCCACACUAGCCAUCUCAUGAACUAAGACCCCCGCCCUAACAUCCCUCACCCCCCUAAUUCUCCUCUCACUCGGAGGCCUCCCCCCACUAACCGGAUUUAUGCCCAAAUGACUUAUCCUUCAAGAACUUACCAAACAAGACCUAUCAACACUAGCGACACUAACCGCACUCACUGCCCUCCUCAGCCUAUUCUUUUAUCUACGCCUAUCUUAUGCAAUAGCCCUUACCCUGUCCCCAAAUAAUGCCACCGGAACCACUCCCUGACGACUCUCAUCCACCCAAUCUAACCUGCCACUAGCCCUCUCAACUACCACCUCAAUCCUUCUCCUCCCCCUCGCCCCCGCCGCAAUAGCCCUUUUCACCCCCUAAGGUGACUUAGGUUAAUAUCCAGACCAAGGGCCUUCAAAGCCCUAAGCGGAAGUGAAAAUCCUCCAGUCCCCGAUAGAGCCUGCGAGACACUAACUCACAUCUUCUGCAUGCAAAACAGACGCUUUAAUUAAGCUAAAGCCCUCCUAGAUAGGCAGGCCUUGAUCCUACAAACUCUUAGUUAACAGCUAAGCGCUCAAGCCAGCGAGCAUCCAUCUAACUUUCCCCCGCCUAAACAACUAAAGGCGGGGGAAAGCCCCGGCAGACGCUAAUCUGCUUCUCUAGGUUUGCAACCUAGCAUGAUUAUACACCUCGGAACUUGGUAAGAAGAGGAAUUGAACCUCUGUCUACGGGGCUACAACCCACCGCUUAAAACUCAGCCAUCCUACCUGUGGCAAUCACACGUUGAUUUUUCUCUACCAAUCAUAAAGACAUCGGCACCCUUUAUCUAGUAUUUGGUGCUUGAGCCGGAAUAGUGGGCACCGCUCUUAGCUUGCUCAUCCGAGCAGAACUUAGUCAGCCCGGCUCACUCCUGGGGGAUGACCAAAUCUAUAACGUAAUCGUCACCGCCCACGCUUUCGUGAUAAUUUUCUUUAUAGUAAUGCCAAUCAUGAUCGGAGGCUUCGGAAACUGACUAGUCCCCUUAAUAAUUGGAGCACCAGACAUGGCAUUUCCCCGAAUGAACAAUAUAAGCUUCUGACUUCUCCCCCCUUCUUUCCUCCUUCUCCUGGCUUCUUCUGGGGUAGAGGCUGGAGCUGGGACCGGUUGGACUGUAUACCCUCCCCUUGCUAGCAACCUCGCUCACGCUGGAGCAUCCGUCGAUCUGACCAUCUUUUCUCUCCACUUAGCGGGUGUCUCCUCAAUUCUUGGAGCCAUUAACUUUAUCACGACCAUUAUUAACAUAAAACCCGCUACCGUCUCCAUAUAUCAAAUCCCCCUAUUCGUCUGAGCAGUCUUGAUUACAGCCGUUCUUCUUCUACUCUCCCUCCCAGUCCUAGCCGCCGGUAUCACCAUGCUUCUUACAGAUCGUAACCUAAACACAGCAUUCUUCGAUCCUGCCGGAGGGGGAGACCCGAUUCUCUAUCAACAUCUGUUCUGGUUCUUCGGCCACCCGGAGGUGUACAUUCUUAUCCUCCCCGGCUUUGGAAUAAUUUCACAUGUCGUAGCCUACUACUGUGGGAAAAAAGAACCCUUCGGAUACAUGGGCAUAGUCUGAGCUAUAAUAGCUAUUGGCCUCUUAGGAUUUAUCGUAUGGGCCCACCAUAUGUUCACCGUAGGGAUGGACGUUGACACACGCGCCUACUUUACAUCCGCAACUAUGAUUAUUGCCAUCCCAACUGGCGUAAAAGUCUUCAGCUGACUUGCAACAAUCCACGGCGGAAACAUUAAAUGAGACACCCCAAUGCUCUGAGCUCUCGGAUUCAUCUUCCUAUUCACAGUCGGAGGCCUGACUGGUAUUAUCCUGGCCAACUCUUCCCUAGACAUCGUUCUCCACGACACAUACUACGUAGUUGCCCACUUCCACUACGUCCUGUCUAUGGGGGCCGUAUUCGCAAUUGUUGCCGGCUUUGUCCACUGAUUCCCUCUAUUUACAGGUUACACCCUGCACAGCACAUGAACAAAAAUCCACUUCGGAAUCAUAUUCGCAGGGGUAAACUUAACUUUCUUCCCUCAGCACUUCCUAGGACUAGCCGGAAUGCCUCGACGAUACUCAGACUACCCGGAUGCCUACGCCCUAUGAAACACUAUGUCCUCCAUUGGGUCUCUAGUAUCCCUUGUAGCCGUUAUUUUAUUCUUGUUCAUUAUCUGAGAAGCAUUCACUGCCAAACGUGGAGUCUUAGCAGUAGAAUUCACCGCCACAAACAUAGAAUGACUUCACGGCUGUCCUCCCCCCUAUCACACAUUCGAACAACCUGCCUUUGUCCAAGCUCGAAAUAACUAACGAGAAAGGGAGGAAUUGAACCCCCAUAGAUUGGUUUCAAGCCAACCACAUAACCGCUCUGUCACUUCCUUAUAA